CUUAAAGGAUGUUAGCCUAAAAUCAUCGCAUCCAUGCGAUAACGGCUAACUGACCAGCAUCGGUAAAAACGCCAG
rfam:Lysinibacillus xylanilyticus strain DSM 23493 Scaffold1, whole genome shotgun sequence.